rnacentral:rRNA from 1 species
CCUGGCGGCCUUAGCGCGGUGGUCCCACCUGAUCCCAUGCCGAACUCAGAAGUGAAACGCCGUAGCGCCGAUGGUAGUGUGGGGUCUCCCCAUGCG